GAAGUUUUAGGGCUGUCUUAAG
rnacentral:miRNA from 1 species